rnacentral:misc_RNA from 1 species
GAUGAAGAACGCAGCGAAAUGCGAUAAGUAGUGUGAAUUGCAGAAUUCCGUGAAUCAUCGAAUCUUUGAACGCACAUUGCGCCUUCUGGUAUUCCGGAAGGCAUGCCUGUUCGAGAGUCAUUAACAACCGUUUCGAUCCCUUUCUUUCAGAAAUUACAAAGAGGAAAAGGGUUUGGUUAUGGUGGAGGAGGGAAAGGGAGCGUUUAGCCUGUAAAAAAAGAGGCUGUGUUCCGCCUCCCCCCCAAAAUUGUACAGGCGGUCGUGUGCGCCCACGCAUCGAGGUGUUGUAAAAGCUGCCACGGCACUUUUCACCUGUGCAGUGCGAGAUUGGCCAGCCGGUUUAAAAACCCCUCCAAACAAUCAAAGGUUGACCUCGGAUCAGGUAGGGAUACCCGCUGAACUUAAGCAUAACAAUAAGCGGAGGA